rnacentral:rRNA from 1 species
AACGAACGCUGGCGGCAGGCUUAACACAUGCAAGUCGAACGCAUCCUUCGGGGUGAGUGGCAGACGGGCGAGUAACGCGUGGGAACGUGCCCUUCAGUUCGGGAAAACCCAGGGAAACUUGGGCUAAUACCGGAUACGUGCGAGAGCAGAAAGAUUUAUCGUUGAAGGAUCCGCCCGCGUCUGAUUAGCUAGUUGGUGGGGUAAUGGCCCACCAAGGCGACGUUCAGAAGCUGGUCUGAGAGGAUGAUCAGCCACAUUGGGACUGAGACACGGCCCAAACUCCUACGGGAGGCAGCAGUGGGGAAUAUUGGACAAUGGGCGCAAGCCUGAUCCAGCCAUGCCGCGUGAGUGAUGAAGGCCUUAGGGUUGUAAAGCUCUUUCGUCCGGGACGAUAAUGACGGUACCGGAAGAAGAAGCCCCGGCUAACUUCGUGCCAGCCGCCGCAGUAAGAC